AUGGCGGGUAGGACGUUCGUGGACGCUGCGGUGCGCGCCAUGCAGGAGUACGUGCGGGUGUCCGACCUGGCCCUAGCCGCCGCGGUGCUCUUCGCGUGCAACGCCGCCACGACCCGCCUGAAGUCGCGGGGCAGACCCAUGCUGUGGCCGGUGUUCGGCAUCAUCCCCACCCUCUUCGCACACCUCGACAACAUCUACGACUGGGGCGCCGCCGCGCUAGCUCGCUCCGGGGGCACGUUCCCGUACCGCGGCAUGUGGGGCGGGGGCUCCUCGGGCGUCAUCACGUCCGUGCCGGCCAACGUCGAGCACGUGCUUAAGACCAACUUCUCCAACUACCCCAAGGGGCCCUACUACCGCGAGCGAUUCGUGGAGCUGCUCGGCGACGGCAUCUUCAACGCCGACGGCGAGGCGUGGCGCGCGCAGCGCCGCGCCGCCACGGCUGAGAUGCACUCGGCGCAGUUCCUCGAGUUCUCGGCCAGGACCGUCGAGCAGCUGGUACACGGCCGGCUGAUGCCGCUGCUGCAGCAGCAGCAGAGCCAGGGUGGCGUGACCGUGGACCUCCAGGACGUCCUCCUCCGGUUCACGUUCGACAACAUCUGCGCCGCAGCGUUCGGGGUGGACGCCGGGUGCCUCGCGGACGGCCUCCCCGACGUGCCGUUCGCGCGCGCCUUCGAGCGCGCCACGGAGCUCUCCCUCGCCCGGUUCGUCACGCCGCCCUUCGUCUGGAAGGCCAAGCGGCUCCUCUGCGUCGGUGGCGAGCGACGCCUCGCGGAGGCCGCGCGCUCCGUGCGGGAGUUCGCCGAGCGGACCGUCUCCGAACGCCGCACCGAGCUGCGCAAGCUCGGCAGCCUGCAAGGCCGCUGCGACCUCCUCUCCCGCCUCAUGUCCUCCUCGACGGGCCACUCCGACGAGUUCCUCCGCGACUUCUGCAUCAGCUUCAUCCUCGCCGGGCGCGACACGAGCUCCGUCGCGCUCGUCUGGUUCUUCUGGCUCCUCGCGUCCCACCCCGAGGCCGAGUCACGCGUCCUUGACGAUGUGCGGGCCGCCCACGGCGACGUCGGGAAGAUGGACUACCUCCACGCGGCGCUGACGGAGUCGAUGCGCCUCUACCCGCCGGUGCCCGUGGACUUCAAGGAGGCGCUCCAGGACGACGUGCUCCCGGACGGCACGGCGAUCCGCGCGCGCCAGCGGGUGAUCUACAACACGUACGCGAUCGGACGGGACCCGGCGGCGUGGGGAGAGGAUUGCCUGGAGUUCCGCCCGGAGCGGUGGAUGAAGGGCAGGGAUUUUGCUGGCGGCGCCGAGAGCCCGUUCAAGUACGUGGUGUUCAACGGCGGGCCGAGGCUGUGCGUCGGCAAGCGGUUCGCGUACACGCAGAUGAAGACUCUGGCGGCGGCGGUGCUGGAGACGUUCGCGGUGGAGGUGGCGCCCGGGCAGGUGGUGAAGCCCAAGCUCAACACCACGCUGUACAUGAAGAACGGCCUCAUGGUGAGCUUCAGGAGGAGGGAGCAGCAGCACGUCCAUUGCACCACCGUAGCUGAGUUUAUUUUCCUGAUUUUGGGAUGGAACAGCGCAAGAAUGAUGGAAAUCUCAUCAUGCCCUGCUUUGAACAGAAGUAAACUUAAAGGAACGGAAUGUGGUACAGAUCUCUGA
rnacentral:rRNA from 1 species